rnacentral:rRNA from 1 species
UACGUAGGGUGCAAGCGUUGUCCGGAAUUAUUGGGCGUAAAGAGCUCGUAGGCGGUUUGUCGCGUCUGCUGUGAAAACUCGGGGCUUAACCCCGGGCCUGCAGUGGGUACGGGCAGACUAGAGUGCGGUAGGGGAGAUCGGAAUUCCUGGUGUAGCGGUGAAAUGCGCAGAUAUCAGGAGGAACACCGGUGGCGAAGGCGGAUCUCUGGGCCUUACCUGACGCUCAGGUGCGAAAGCUAGGGGAGCGAACAGG